GCCAGGUGCAGUGGCACACGCUUGUAAUCCCAGCAGCUUGGGAGGCUGAGGCAGGAGGAUCUCGAGUUCAAAACCAGCCUCUGCAAUGGGGAGGCACUUAGCAACUCAGUGAGACCCUGUCUCUA
rnacentral:sRNA from 1 species